CGCCUCCUGCAAAAAUCAACGUAUAGGAGGUCUUGCCUGCCCAGUGACAAGUUAAACGGCCGCGGUAUUUUGACCGUGCGAAGGUAGCGCAAUCACUUGUCUUUUAAAUGAAGACCUGUAUGAAUGGUGGAACGAGGGCUUAACUGUCUCCCUUUUCAAGUCAAUGAAAUUGAUCUGCCCGUGCAGAAGCGGACAUACCCAUACAAGACGAGAAGACCCUUUGGAGCUUAAGAUAUAAGAUCAACUAUGUCAAGAACCCAAAACUAGGUUAAACUAAAUAGCUAACUGAUCCCUAUCUUCGGUUGGGGCGACCGCGGGAGAAAACAAAGCUCCCAUGCGGACUGGGGUUAAACCCUAAAACCAAGAAAGACAUCUCUAAGUCACAGAAUAUCUGACCACAAAGAUCCGGCCUAACCUGCCGACCAACGGACCAAGUUACCCUAGGGAUAACAGCGCAAUCCCCUCCCAGAGUCCAUAUCGACAAGGGGGUUUACGACCUCGAUGUUGGAUCAGGACAUCCUAAUGGUGCAGCCGCUAUUAAGGGUUC
rnacentral:rRNA from 1 species